rnacentral:misc_RNA from 1 species
UCCGAGUUGACCCCGGCAGUCUCCCAUGAGUCCCCGGCAUUACCCGCUGGCAACAUGGAACGAGGGUUGCGCUCGUUGCGGGACUUAACCCAACAUCUCACGACACGAGCUGACGACAACCAUGCACCACCUGUACGCCGCCCUUACGGACCCCACAUCUCUGCGAGUUUUCGGCGUAUGUCAAGCCUUGGUAAGGUUCUUCGCGUUGCGUCGAAUUAAGCCACAUGCUCCGCCGCUUGUGCGGGCCCCCGUCAAUUCCUUUGAGUUUUAGCCUUGCGGCCGUACUCCCCAGGCGGGGCGCUUAAUGCGUUAGCUACGGCACGGAUCCCGUGGAAGGGAACCCACACCUAGCGCCCAACGUUUACGGCGUGGACUAC